rnacentral:sRNA from 1 species
GAGCUUCCGCGCAUGCGCGCUGAGGCCUGCCUGACCGACCUUCAGCAGGGCUGCGGCUACCAUGUUCUCUCGCGCGGGCGUCGCUGGGCUGUCGGCCUGGACCUUGCAGCCGCAAUGUUACCAGGAGACUAAAGUCCAUCAAAAACAUCCAGAAAAUUACCAAGUCUAUGAAAAUGGUAGCAGCAGCAAAAUAUGCCCGAGCUGAGAGAGAGCUGAAACCAGCUCGAAUAUAUGGAUUGGGAUCUUUAGCUCUGUAUGAAAAAGCUGAUAUCAAGGGGCCUGAAGACAAGAAGAAACACCUCCUUAUUGGUGUGUCCUCAGAUCGAGGACUGUGUGGUGCUAUUCAUUCCUCCAUCGCUAAACAGAUGAAAAGCGAGGUUGCUACACUAACAGCAGCUGGGAAAGAAGUUAUGCUUGUUGGAGUUGGUGACAAAAUCAGAGGCAUACUUUAUAGGACUCAUUCUGACCAGUUUCUGGUGGCAUUCAAAGAAGUGGGAAGAAAGCCCCCCACUUUUGGAGAUGCGUCAGUCAUUGCCCUUGAAUUACUAAAUUCUGGAUAUGAAUUUGAUGAAGGCUCCAUCAUCUUUAAUAAAUUCAGGUCUGUCAUCUCCUAUAAGACAGAAGAAAAGCCCAUCUUUUCCCUUAAUACCGUUGCAAGUGCUGACAGCAUGAGUAUCUAUGAUGAUAUUGAUGCUGACGUGCUGCAAAAUUACCAAGAAUACAAUCUGGCCAACAUCAUCUACUACUCUCUGAAGGAGUCCACCACUAGUGAGCAGAGUGCCAGGAUGACAGCCAUGGACAAUGCCAGCAAGAAUGCUUCUGAGAUGAUUGACAAAUUGACAUUGACAUUCAACCGUACCCGCCAAGCUGUCAUCACAAAAGAGUUGAUUGAAAUUAUCUCUGGUGCUGCAGCUCUGGAUUAAUGAAAAUCAAGUUCCAUCCUCAGACAAGAGGUAAAGAAGGAAAAUUCAGCCAGUUGAUUUUGUUUUUAGCUUACUGCUGUCUUUGUCCGAAGAAACUGUUCCUCCAUUAUUUGAAUUACUGAAGACAGCAAGAUAUUUGUAAAUUAUCUUACAAUAAACAACUUAAAAUAAAA